CUCUGUAAAAUGUGGCUUGUCUUUCUGUACCUAUGGUUUGUUGGCACUGGCUUGUGUCCAGACUCCUGGAAGAGCACAGAAUGUUAUUCUGGCACCCUGGUAGGAGGGUCCAAAUGGAUAUCUACAUGGCUCGGUCCUCACUUGGCUAAUCCUUGGGUCACUGAAGCUUGUCUCAGUCAGAACACCUUUACUUUCUAUAUUUGCUCCUUAAAUAACUAAUUAUACCCAUAAGAAACUAGCCUGAUCCCAGUUCUGAGUGUGGCAUAGUCUUAUAUAGCUGGAGAGGGAAAAAAAUAGGUCAGAAUUCAUAAGAUCCUGUCCAAAAUCAAGCUGUAAUAACAAAUAACUACAGCAAGAACAUUUUCAUCACAAUUAACCUGCUGUGAUUCAUUGUUCAUUUUGAUGCAUUUAUAUCCAUUUUGGAGAGGAUCUCACGUGAGGCUGGUGUGACAUGCUAAAAGGCUCAAUUGAGCUUUCUCCCCUCAAGUUUCUCUUUUAUAAAUGUUCACAUUUCUGAAGUUGUUAUUGCAAAAGUCCCACUCUGUCCACUUCUGGUGCUUCUGUGAGGGAGAAAUACAAGUGUAGCCGUUGGUGAUGCCCUCGCAUGUUGAACUGCUUCAGCUGAGGGCACAUGGUUGGGUUUGAAGUGACGGGCUUGCCAGGUCUGAGCGGCUUAGCAGAAGGAUCAGGUUUUAAAAUGUGUGGGGAGCUGACUUUGUGAUCAGCAAUAAUCUGCCUCCCAUUACAUAGGCAUGAAUAUACAAGAGCUUAAUUAUCCUUGUACAUGGUCUUGCGAAUGAGUCCAGGUGCCUUCAGGACCCUCCUCACCUGAUACAGAAGAGGGUGAUCUAUGGAGCCCUCUCUCUGGAAAGUUCACAUGUGCAUUAUAUACGCAGAGACUUCCCAGAAUAAAAUUUUGGUUAUAUUUUGCUGUGUAAAACUGGUGCAUGGGAACGGUCUAGAUAGGACUCCAAACCUGAUGCAACACCCUCACCUGCAGCUGUUGUGCCUUGGAGGAUAGAAGAAGUGGGAGGAAAACCAGCCGGGUUUGCUUGUGAUCCCCAGUGCUCUCUCCAUCACCUUGUGUGAUGUCUUCAGGCUGUGACCCUCAGUUGCUGGAUAUUAUUUUGGCAUUGAUAACCACCAGCCUUCUCAACUUUUCAUGCACAUUCCUUACCCCAUUCCUUUCCUCUGCUCCAUUUCUGUGCCAUCUCUCCUUUCUGUGUCGUCAGGCUUUGGUCUGCAUUUCCCUUUGUAUACACCCUGCUCUUCUGAUACAGGGGAAGGCAAAAUUCAUAUUCCCAAACAGGUCAAGCCCCCCAAAGAAAAUCAAGCAAAUGAGAUAAUAAUGAGCAUAAACCUCUUCCAAAUUACUGCAGUUGGAUGCAUUUUCAUUUUUUCACCCUCUUGUUUUGUUUGUAUGCUAGAGCUGGUUGAAAAGUGUUGAAUUUUUAUUUGAUUUGGGCAUUUUCCCAGGGAAUUUGGAUUCUUUCCAUAGAGAGUCGACAUGUCCCCAGAAAUUAAGAUUUGCAGUGUAAAUGGUUUACUUGGUGCCUCUCUUCUCCCCAGCUGUCAGACUUUUGUCUUGCACAGCAUCUCUCUCACCACCAGUCCUUUGCGGCAGGGCGUGAAGGAGUUAUCUGGGACACCGUGCUGGAGAGGCACAGCGGCAUGAGUUACCCAGGCCACAACUCUUCAGGGAUGCAGGGGAACGUCUCUCGAUGGGGAUGUCAUCAGUGCUGCUGGCACUGCGGUGCACCGCUGGUUACAUGGCUGCGUGGUGUCAGCUCUUCUGAUCAAUCUGCCCUCUGCUCGGAGCACUAGAAGGCAAAGAUCUGUGGGCAGCUUUGUGGCGAGGAACUUUUGGGAUAUGGCCCUGAAGUUACAUUCUAUAUGUUUUGAGAAGGGUUAACAAUUCUGAUACCUGGUAUCCUAUGGGCAUUUAACACAGGUGAAUACUUGGCACAUUUCUGGUACUUAUCAGUCACAAGCAAACAGUUGCGUGGAGGGGAAUGUGGCAGAUGGGAACUAGUGAGAGAUAAAUAUUUAAGUUGCUAUAUGAAAAGCAAAUAAAAAAAAAUAAUAUCUCUGUGAAAGUGAAAUGAGGAAAUUAAUUACCUGUACUCUGUCAGUGGAAAACAAGCCACCUCUCUGGUGUAGCUGGCACCCUGAGAAAGUCUCUGAUGCCACUGUCAUCUUGGGUUCCCAUCUCUGAGAAGCUGUCUGGCUCUCUGCAAUAUAGCCGUGCACAUAAACACGGCUUUUUAUUUUUGAAACACAUGAAAUAAUUUAGUACAAACUAGAAAAUAACUUCCAAAUGCCCUCUUUUGCUUGCACUCUUCGGAGAACAUAUGGGGAAGAUAGCACAUACUUUUCUUACAAAGAAAAUGAAAAUGUCAUUGUUUUCCCCAAAUGAAUUUGAAAAAUUGAUUUUGAAAAAAAUGCAUCUUUGAGAUCAACUCCUCCCAUAUCAAUACAUCAUACAAGAAACCAGUCACCUCUGCAGAAACAUUUAUUGGUUUCCAUCAUGUUGCAUCGUUUAAAAGAUGAGACAGCACGCUCUGCAGAGUGCAGAACUUCCUCUCCUCUCCUCUCUACUUUAAUUGCAUUUCUGUUCUCAGCAUUACAUAACUUUAAAGGCAUGUUAUAAAUAUUGUUCUGCGUCAUAGAUCAUGUCUAUAAUAUAUACAGCAUUUUCACUUUGACAUAGCCUCCUAACAAAAAAGCAAAACGUGGGAAAUUAAAAUAAAAGAUGCCAACCUGCCCAUUCAAAAGACGUUUUGCUUUUUUUUUGCAGAAGCCAAUUUUAUGCGUUUUGAUUCUUCUGCAAAGUCAGUUUGGAAAACUUUGUUUAAAAACCCUGAAAGUUUUUAAAGCCAGAAAACAUAUUUCCAGAAUUCUUCUCCUAUGUCUAUAGUUUCAUGUAGGGUUUUUUGUUGUAUUAUUUCAAAUUCAAGAUGAAAUCGUGGCUGAUUCCCACUCAGAUUAACACUAGUGGGGAACACCACAUGAGAACACAGGCAGAUAUGAGAAUAACCAGCUGAAUUCCGUGAGUUUUAAGUGCUAGAGCAAGAAAGAGGGGUGCUACAGGUACAGACAUUUGCUCUUUUCUCAAUUUGCUCCAGCAAGUUAAAAGUUCAACUACUAUGACAGAGAAUAAGGUUGUAAUCCCAACAGAUACUACUCCUCAUUGCAAAAUCCGUAAUUUUGAUAGGGAGUGUUUUUCUUGAUGAGCAGCCUUGCAGUCUAGCCUGCAUUUUCGCUUUGUUUUUGCUUAUGAACUGAUAACUGUGCCAACUGUCACCUGUCUAAUUUGGUGCAUAAAUAUAUUAACAUUUGUGUUCCAGCUGAAUCUCUGAGUCUGAUGUGACUGAUCCAAAAGUGACCUUCAUUUUGAAUUUUAGUAAUGAACGGAAAGAAAUAUUUAGGUAAUACAUUUUUCUAAAAAUUGCCUGAACAUUAGCAUAUCAAAUGCUUGGACCAUCCGCUUUUCUGCAGUGGAAGUUCUGAAAGGCUUUACCUAGAAAGGGUCCGUAGUUCAAGUUCCCUUCUCUCUUGGACGCUGGGUUCUCUGGCUGGACAUCUUUCCAUGUUGUACCUAAACCCUAGUGAUUCCCAGGACAAACCUUCUUGGGUAAGGAGCGGUGUGGGAGCCUGUGGAGGUGGGACGGAUCUCAUCGGCUGGUUUCAGUAAUGUACAAAACGUGAGAAAGCAAUGCAGCUUUUGCUGAUGGCAUGGAGCUGGGGACAUCGUCAGCACAGAAAAGGUCAUGACUGACCCAGGAAAAAGCAGCUGGCCAUGAAUGUUGGUGCGUAGAGAGGGGAGGGCAGAGCGAGGUAAGAGGUUUUGCUUGCUUGCAGGUUGGCUGUGAGUCACUGGUGCACUAUGACUGUGGAGAAAACAAACCUCAUCCUACAGUGUAUUGAGACAUUUCUGUACUAUCGUGAUAGCAGAGUUCAGUGAGUACACAGCUCGUGCCUGGCAAAGGCUGAACUGGAGGUAAAUUUGCCGAGGAUGCCUGCUGGAGUGUCUGUGAAUAGGAAGCCUGUCUUACGUGUGGACACCAAGACAACUUGCUUUUUUUUGACUCAGCCGUGCAGAAGACCAGGAAGAAGAUGCUAAUGUUCCCUACGCAUAAUCCAGGGCCAAGCAGUGGGGUACAGCAGAGCAAUCCAAGCAGAGUGACCAUCCUGGCACAAGAACAAACGGCUCUGAGCAAAUGUGUGCUGUGAAUUGGGAGAAUGAGGAAAAGCAUCGGUAGGAAUAAUGGAAACUGGAAGCUGAACAAAACUUUAAGACAGGGCUGCCAAUGUAGUCCUUCCCUGGACACCAGCCCUUGGAGGAGACGCAGGCUGCAAGAGAGCUGCUGGGAUGAAACAUCUGCCCACGGAUCCGCCGCCUGGGUUGUGCCAGUGGCCCCUUGGAAUGUUUUACAGGAUGAGGAUCACGCCUAUUGCAUCUCAGCGUCCUGCUUUGAGCAGUCACAUGGCAUCUGCUGCAGGUUUGCCAGGAGCUGGGUAGAAAAAUUCCAUUUCAUGUUCUCCAUAUGGCAGCUGUCUAGCAGAUGACAUCACCUAAAUGCCCAUAGUCCUGGCUCUCCCCUCGAAAGGCAGAGUGAUGAGGGGAAAAAAUAAACCGAACCUCCUCCCUGCUCCCCCUUGCCUGUAAAAAAAGUGCAAAAUUCAAAUGUCUUAACCACUUGUGUCAGCUGUGGAGCAGCAACCCACCUCCGGGCUCCAUAAUUCGCCGUGCACAUUGAACUGCAGCGUUGGUUUUGGCGUUUUUGUUUGGGUGGGAAGCCUGCAGUUCCUGCGAAUGCUUUGUAGCGUACUUUGGGACAUGUGGUAACGCUAGGGAGAAGAAAGACCAGGAAACACAUGCAGCUGACAGGCAGGGCCAGUCGCUUUCCUCCUGCCAAGUAGGCUGCCUUCAGAUGUGCUUCUGGCAGUGAGCGCCAUGACACCUCAGGUUCCCUCCAGCGUCUUUCCAAAAGUAACAGAGAUUUUCUUCUUUGCAAAGGAAAAAUGAAAUCAGGACAAAAAGUAAUAAAAGCCAUUAUCCCGAGGCAUUCAAAGGGGUUUAAGACAGGAGCGGGGGGGGGGGAUGUUCAAGCUCAGAAUUCUUUUGUGGCAGACUAUUACUGGGUGCUGUAGUUUAUCAUUAUGUAUUUUAUUUUGAAGUGUUUCAUGUCUUUAAGGUGGUGACCUUCAGUACACUGAAAGCACAACUGGAUGACCUUACCUGAUUUUCUGUAGCCCAGGUAUCCUUAUGCAUGUUUCAAACAGUGUAAGCUGCUUUGGGGUUACGUUGAGAGCAUAGUUUACUAAUUACAUUUUUGUGUUGACUUUACCCAUUAACAACGCCUGCAUGGGGGUGCAUUUGGCCGGGGAGCGAUGGUAGUUCCCCUGCAGUGCAGAGGGAGCUGGCAGCAAGGUGGGCGGCGGUGCUGGAGCUCUCCUGCAGUACAAAUGCUUGGAGGUUGGGUGUCCCAAGUCCAAGUCCACCCAAGUGAUUAGGCCAUCCACUUUUUUACUUUUUUUUUUUUUUUUUUUUUUUUGCCAGCAACAGCAUAAACUGCUUUCCCUCCUCUCUGAUUUGAGAUGACUCCGGGAAAAUUACAUUUUAUUUCCUUCUCUUUCCUCAGGAGGCUCUUCACCUCCCCAGUCUCAACUUCUCUUUGUUUUUCCCCUUCUGUACUUCACUGUCCCCUGUGGUCCUUAAACUCCUCCUACACCACAGUCCCCUGCGCUCACUGGCAGCUAUUCCUUGCACACAGCAUCCUCACAAGUUUUUUGUAACUCCUUCCUCUUUAUUCUCUGUGGUCUCCCCACACAUCCUUGUUUUCCUUACGUCUCCUCCUCCUACAUGCUCUGUGAUCUCUUUGCCAGGGCAAAGUAGUUCCCAGUAACAUAUUUACUGCGCUUUUAAUAAUUUCUAACGAUUAGAGUGUCACGAGUGGCAGGACUUGCCUAAAUAGGUGAUAAUUCAAAGAUGAGACCCUAACUCUCUUUUUAGAAAUACAAUCCAAUUUGUCCUCCUCCCCAGCUUUGCCAAAACUGCAACCCAGUCUGUCUUACAUUUCAUAUAUAUGAUCUCAUGUCAGAGCAGAAGUUUUCUGGAAAAUCUGAAACAAAUUGGAUGAGGCAGUUUUGGAUUCAUAUAGAAACUGAUGCAUUAUUUUAAACAGAUUUUUUUACAUUUUUUUGUCUUUUUUUUUUGCUUUUUUUUUUUGUUUACUUUUUUUUUGGGCUUGUCAUGACUCAAAAGCAACAUGGGCUGGAAAAUUCCAGAUCUGCCAAGACCAUAGGUUUUCUCCACCGACUCUAGGUUUUCUGGUUCUUCUAGGCAGACACAGAGUAAAAUGAGUAAAAGGGGCAGUUCUUUUCGGUCGGUCGUCUUUCCCCCUUCCCUGCCUGGUGGAGCUAUGAUGUGUUCCGAAGGAGAACCUCCCGUGUGAUUACCCGUUACCUCUCAGUCGCAGGAACAGAGGCUUAUGAGCCCGGCAGAGCGCUGACCAAACUGCGCCAACGCCACCCAUUGUCAAUGCCAACCUUUUUUACAACUGUUUACUGAGUGCUGGUUGCUGAAUGUGUCACAUUAGUGCUUUAUCAGUAAGUGGUUUUUCAGUUUGAAUUCUGAGUUGAUAAUACUGAAAUAAUAUUUUUUUUCCAAUACAAAUUGGUCUUUUUUCCCCAGAAAAAUAAAAAAUUCUUUCAAGAUGCUUUUUUUGUGCAGUGCCAAGGCAGAGAAUUAAUUUCAAUUUUGUGAAUUGUUUUUUAUUCUUAAGAAUACUAACUGUAGUCCCAUUUUAAAACAACAUAUUUUGUAGAAAAAUCAAAGUUCUUAUCAAGAAAAUGUUGAAAUUCUUUUUUUUCCUGUCCUCCUCACAAAAAAUCUCUGUAGAAUGGUUAAAUUCAGUAUGGAUUUAUGAAUAGUUUUGAUUAACUCCUAACAAUGUUUUUCCAGGCAAAUAUGUUAAUUAUUUACACCAAUAUCUUUUGUAGUCCUAUUUUACAGUUUUUUAAUCAGAUAAUUUCAUCAAUGACUGGUGCCUAUGACUAGUUUGGCAAAAGUUUAUUAGCUAGGCUGAAUAAAACCCUACAGGUGCCGUAAGGACUUCGCUUGCCGAUUUUUAUGAGCCUAAAGAAGCCCACCUCAGCCAGCUGUGACACACGUAACAUUUUUUGUAGCUUCCCUUCUCAGAUAUAGCAUACGUUGAAUUCUCAGUGGGUGCGGGGGAAUUUCCCCAAGCAGUGAUAAGCAUUGCGGAGGUCAUUGGAGCUGUGUAUAUCCAGUUUUCCUCCAUGAUAAUGCCAUCAAGCCAAAGGUUCAGAAGGCUUUGUCAGCUGUCGUUGAGCUUCUCAGGUCACAGGUGCUCUCUCCCCAUGCAAGCAGUAAGCUAGGGGUGUGAUUUUUAUUCUUGGCGUGCUCAGUUCCUAUCAGAAGUAGAGGAAAUAGUGCUUUGACAGGGUAUAGACUAUGCUAAAAAAAAAAGCAUAAAAUAGCAUAGGAUGUGUUUUGUUUUAUCAUGGGAGUGAGUAGAGUGGAGAGGAAACUCUCCAUCCUUUCCUGCUCCUGUUUCCUUCUCUCUCAUUCAAAAACUGUGGUAACUCACGAGUAGUGUGUAUAAUGCUAUAUACACCCUAUGGCUAGAGCUUUGUGAGGGGUUAACCUAGAAGCAAGGCUUGCAUGAUUUUUUUGUGAUGGACAAGUUGGCAAUGAUGGGCAUCAUGAUGCAGCGCUGUGAGGAGAACAGUGUGACCAUAAGGGCAGAAUCUGACCACUGCAGCCAGCGUAGUCCUCAUGUCCCACACUGGUAUUUAAAUUAGGUCUUGCACUGGCUUUUGCACAAGAUUAGUUUUAUUCUAGAAAAAGGUGACAUUUCUUCCGCAGAAAAAACAGCGCUCCAACAAUCUAAAUUAGAUUAAAAUAAUAAAAAAUAUUAUUCAUAUGUGAAGAGUGAAAAAUAAUGGUGAAAGAUUACAGUUUAAAAUAACUAGGUUUAAAGGGAAAUUUAAUGAGGUAACUUAAAAAUCUAAACCCCCAGAAAGUUCAAGAUCUCGACAACCUUUCAUCUGCUUUUGUCUCAUUGCACAUCUCCCAUUUAUAAUAAUGAAAAAAACCCACACAGAUUUGCAGCCCCUCUGUACAUUGACAAGGUGAGCCAUCAGUAUGCAUUGUGUGUGAUUUAAGGACAACUCAAGCACCCAUCCAGGACAUAUGGACAUCUAUGCAACCAGAAACUAUCUUCCAGCUCUUGUAUCUAUGGCAAAAUCUUGACCUUUACGUUUCACAUAAGGAACAAGGAUUCCCAGCUUCCCAUUUAAAUUCCCCCUUCCAUGUACUGAAAAUAUUAAAACAAUUUAAUCUCCUUACAAUCCCCAGUGGUGCCCUUUAAAUCAGCUUUUCAUUGGGAAUUGACUACAUACUUUCUGUAACAUAAACUGAAAUCUGGGAGUUGUAAGCUGCCAGUAAAAUAUGAAGGUAUGCUACAUUUGCCCAGAUAUAUAAGAUAUGACAAGAUUUAAUAUGUAUUAAAUUUAACAGGUGCUGUGAUCUCCUGUGUAGAUACACAAUAUUCAAAGCCAUACUCCAGAGAACUCCGCAUUCCCUGCUAACUCUGCAUUUCUGUCCUUCCCAACAUAUUUUAUCUGUAAUCUUACCUCCCAUUUCUUACAAUUCAGAUUCAUUUUAUUUAAGCAACGUUAUCUAUAUUUUUAUCAAGCUCCUAAAUGACAGGCGGCAUAUGCAACCUUAGCUCUGGCUUCCCAGAGGUGUUAGUUGGGGUAAUUGCAAACUGUUUAGAUAAGCUGUAGACCCUGACAGAAAACGAACAAAACUUGGAUGUCACAUUUCUCACCCAGUCAGAAAAUCUGUGUCUCUCACAUGCUCACUGUUUGAAUCUUUAGGUGGAGAAAUUACUGGGGAGGAGGUGGAUGGGGAGGAAGAAGAAUGGUUUUAUUUUUGUGAAAGCUCCUUAGGCUAUGGAGAACCAUCCAUUGCUACGUUGCGGCCAGGACGUAAAGUGAAACACGUCAAAAAUGAGUGAUCACAUUUUACAUGUGUUUCACAUGGGCUUGCACAUUGACAACUGAUGUAAGGCAGCACAACGCAGGGAAUGAGGCGCUGAACUGUUGGGAUGUAGGGCCUCUCCCGACCUUGCCAGCAAAGCUCAGGAGUCCACAUUAAUCUAAAAAUGAUAGGUCUUGCUGGGAAGAAAUGCUUCUUGAUUGUCAUGUACAGUGCCCACACUUUGAUUUCACUGGUACUGCACGUUCUAUCUCCCUUAGUUUUUUUAAUGUCUAACCCAUCCAGGCAUUAAUAAAGACAUCACCCCCACCCCCGUACAAUCAUGUUUUAAGUUUUCUGAACAUAAACCAUACCCCCUUGGUCACUCAUCACUCCCACACCCACCAGCCCUUUUGUAGCCCAAGGAAGCCAAAGUGAGCUUUCCAACCCACUUUCCGUGGGGAUCUGCCAGCUGGUGAGAUCUCGGCAGGUUCUCUGAAAGUUUGUUUUCCCGCUUCUGUCAAAGGAGGAUGUUGAAACCUCACUUACUGAGAAAGCUAUGUGAGAGGAAAAUGUCAUCAUCUCAGUGGGCUAAAUAGAACCACAUUUUGCUCUCUGUCUGGAUAAGUAUUUUUUAAAAAGAGCAAUUUUUUUCCAUUGAUGAUGCCCCGUAUGCAGAAGGAAGCUGCUCAACACAAGAAGAGAGACACUUAGACAUAAAGAAGCUGCAUGUGGCUAAAAGCUGAAAAUCAACCUACUAAAAACAGAAGAGGUAAAACAAAGACUAAGGCCCUGUGAACACAAGGCACUGAUGAUGUUUUCAGAGAUCUUAAAGCCCAGAGGAACCACUACAGUACUUACAAUCUAGGCUUUUCCAUAAGAUAGGCCAAGCAAUUGCACUUGGUGGUUCUAUCAAUAGAACAGUAUCUUCUGCUUUAUCUCUAAAUGAGCUUUUAGAAAUAAGUUCUUUUUUAUUUUAUUUGAAAAUCUCAACUGGUGAAGAGUUGCUUGGGUAAGUGGCUUCAAUGGCUAUUUUCAAUGGACAAGAAUGUAUACCAUAUUUAUUGUCUGAAAUUCUCUUCCUUCAGUUUCUGGUCACUGGGUUCCCUUUUACAUUCUUCUGUCUUGCUGGAAAUCUCUUCUGCAUGGACAUACAUUUAAGGAUUGCAUCACACAUAGCUUCCACUUGUAUGAACUGACCAGGAUGACAUUUUCUCACUGUAAAGAAGACCGCAUCACCAAAUUUCAUAUGAAUGGUGAUGGGAAUCCUUGAGUUUCCUUUCCAGACCUUUCUGCAGUUCUGUAGUAGACAGUACAUCAGUUGAAAUCUGUCUAUUAAGAUGCGAUGUCAUUCCAAAAGGUCGAGGUGUCUUGGUAAAAGGUACCCUAAACACCAGACAGAACUUGUUUUCAUAAACUAGAAACAAACAGGAAUUAAGCAUUUUUGAAAUGCGGUUAGAUCAUGUUCCAUGAUCAGAAAGAAGUCUCAAAAACAGUUGUCCCCAGCCCGGGUAGCUUCCCAGCAGAGGACCUGGGUGCAGAUAUGGCUAGUUUCCUUGAGAAGUGAGGAAAAUAUUGAUCUGGGAAUGAACAUUAGAUGCGCAGGGUGGAAGUAUGUGAAUUCUGUCUGUUGGAUGCAUAAGUGGGAAUCUGGUGCUCUUCUGAACUUCAUUGUUUAUGGCUCAUGUGGACUGAUGAGUAUUUACUGCUGCGACAGGCUGGUUACACUCCCCUGCGAUCACGCUGGAAAAGAUCUCACAUAUAUUAGCUACCAAAAAAAUAGGAAAAAAAAGAAAGUUCAAGAUUCCUUAGUGCUGGAUCCACACGUGUUAGCCAAGAUAAUUUCAGAAUCAGCAACAAUGAUGCCUGCUAGUUCUCUUUGGAAUAGACACCUGUGAGAGCCAGAGGUGCUCCAGCCCAAUCACAUUUCACAUUUAUGAACCCUUCCUCUAGAAAAAUGAGUCUUCUAUAAAAAUUUCUGUUAGCAUUAGUCUUUAUUAAUAAGGCAUCAACCUUCAUCUGUAUAGUGGAGGUGCUAAAUCUCCCAAGGGAUUGGUUUAAGAGCUGGGCCACAAAAAUACUAUUUAGAUUUUGAAAAUCAAUAGGAUGCAUAUGUUGUAUGAUGGGUUACAGCUUUGACACAAGAGGCCCAGUGUUUGAAAGCUAAAUCUGGUCAAAUUGAGACUGGAUAUGAAGCAUGUGCAUAGCUGUGGAGUUAGAUAACUACUGAAGCAACUUAUUUAGAGACAUGGUGGAUUUUUUAGUACUUAAGGACUUUUAAAUCAAGCCUUUGAGCGUAUGGAAAGGGUGAGUAUCAGGACUUGUAUAGAGAGAAAUGUUUCGGAUAAUUUGUCUUUACUUUCUAGUAAAAUCUACAAGUGAAAUGGAUGUCAGGAGACCCAGUUAGCCUUAUUUGUUGGGACCACACAGUACAUGCAGCAUGGAAAAAACAUGCUGCGGUUGUGAAGGCUGGAGUGGAAGAGGGAAAGUGGAGAUUAAAUGCAGAGCAAAACCAUGCUAGGUUGUUGGGGUUUUUUUGGUGGGGUAUGCCUGAGCAGCAUAGGGUACCUACUGUAUAAAACAAAUAAAAUGAAAGACAACAUGUUAUAAACAGCCACAUCUAGUGUGGUGGACAUGUCUACAAUGUGGAGAAUUAAAACUUACGUUCUACGAUGUAAUUUGCUUCUGUCGGGUGGUUGCGUCGGUUUCAGAGCGUGAGGAGCUGUGUGGGCUCAGCAGGGUGCAGCACCCCAACCCUGGUGUGUGACAGUUAUCCGUAGGUUCUCACAGGCUUUCCACCUGGGCCCCAUUUUGUCGCAGAAUUUCCACCCAUUGCAAAUGCAUAGCUGAAUGUGCACCUCCCAGCCCGUCACUCAUGCUCCACAGGUGUGUGAUGGUCCCAUUAUGGCCUACCAGAAGAUGAAACAGGAACAGAAGGUGAUCACGUGUAACCACCCUCAAUGCCAUCUUCUGUUGCAAACCACUGAUAGUCAACAGUGAUGGCAUAGCACAGCCUAAACCAGAAGGAAUCCCCGGUUUGUGUGGUCAGCCCUGGAAGCUGAUGCUCACUGUACUGACACAUUCAUGUUAUGAUGCUACCCUGUCUCAUAUCUCUAUAUUAUAUCUCAUCUAUAUAUCUCAUCUCUAAAUUCUUCACACAUUUUGCAUAAUGAAUUUUUUAAUGCUGCAAAUCAUGCAUCUUCCCAUCCCAGCUCCUGUUAGUUAAUUUAAAAUCAUUUAGAAUAAUAGGGACCUCCACAGAAAAUGGAAGAAAAUUUGAGUGAGGAGCUGGGAUUACUGGAAAAACGGAUAUCUGUAGAUUGAGGACCUUACUGAGUCUCACAGGGUAUGUAUUAAUUACCUGCCAUCUUGAACGACACUUGGCACUUCAAGACCUACCAGUAAUUAGAGAACGAAUAGAGAAUGGGAAUGCUUCAUGCUGCAGGCAUCUCAAGAGCAUGCCCGACAUGUUGGGGGAAAGGCGGGCCACUUUGAGCCACACUGAGCCUGGGCAGUGCAGGCCACAUAGCCUGGUUGUCCUCUGCAAGCCAGCAUGCCAUUGCCAAGGUCAGCUUCACACUGCACCGUCUUGGGGAGUGAUGCCAUGCUAAGGGACACCUUGGCUGCUGGCUGUCCUCAAACACCGCUGUACCUGCCCUCUCAGCUCUUUGUAAAGGUUAUUAACGCCCAGAUCGAUGCAGUGAUUAGCUGCUCCUCUGUUCCCCUCUUGAUAACAUUAUAUGAGCUCCAACCGAAAAGGAAUUGGGAGGAUAUAUUUUAAUGCUGUGAAUACUUUGGCAUUAUAUUACAGGAGGUACUUCAUGAAGGUUUUCCUAAGGCAGAAGAAAAUGUUAAAGGGGAGGUUUAUUAAUUAAGUAACUGGAUUCCUCCAGAACAGGAAAUAUAAUGAAAGUGAGAGCAACACUUAAAAUCAUAGAAUCAUUUAGGUUGGAAAAGACCUUUAAGAUCAUCGAGAUCAACACUCGUCCAGCAUUGCUGAGUCCAUCACCAAACCAUGUCCCUAAGGACCACAUCUACACAUCUUUUAAAUUCCUCCAGGGGUGGUGACUCCACCCCUUCCCCAGGCAGCCUAUUCCAAUUCCUGACAACCCUUGUGGUGAAGAAAUGUUUCCUAAUAUCCAAUCUAAACAUCCCCUGGUCCAACUUGAGGCCAUAGACAAACAAAAUAUCUCUACAAGGAAUGCAGAUGAGAAGAAGGUUUUGUGGUUGGUAUUCUGUUCUAGCUAUCAGGACCCACAGAACGUAUAAAUGUAGCAAGUCAGAAUGUAAAUCUAGAGAUGUAUCCCCAGCCUGAGGAGUUAAGGUAUCCAGUUAGGAAACUUAACUGCAUUGCCAUUAAUUAUGAAAGGCUUGACGGAUGUCUUCUGGACUCACUUUCAACAGCGAUGUGCCAGAAGAAUGUUUGUUAGGCGGUAUUUUCAGUGUUCCCAUUGACUGUCUGACAACAGAUGUUAAAGUAGGAGUAAAACUUACUGAAUCAUCUUUGGUUGAUCUUGAAUAUGUUGAUAAUAUUACCAAGCGCAGAGACUGCCAACAAACUAAGAGGUUAUUGGAAGUUGCAAAAAACUGUAGGUCUCUAGAGGAUUUAAGAUCAAAGUAAUAAAACAAAAGGACUCAGAAUUUUUUUUUAGCUACUUUAGUAGCCUGUGGUUGAGUUAUAGCAUAUCCUUUGCAAAUCUUUUCAGUUUUGAUGUAAAGCAUUUUUGUAAUGGAAAAUUCCUCAUGUCUCCCAGUAGGUGAUUUCAGUGUUUAAUUACAAAUGCUUUCUAAUCCAAAUUUGUAACUCUUGUAGUCUCUUCUUGCUAAAUUAAAGGCCACUUCCUUAUCAGAUACCUCUUCCCCACAUAGGUACUUGUAGGUAAGGUGAAAUCCCUUCUAAAGUGCCAAUAGGGUAAGCUGCGUCUGUCUGCCUUCCUUACUAUACAGCAGUUAGUCCUGACCUCGUAUUAGUCAUUAAAUUGUUUUCUGAACCCCUUCCAGUUUCUGCCAUGCUCGCAUGGGUGUGGACACCAAAACUAGAACCAUUGCUGCAAUCACAAUAACAGAAUCAUAGAAUCGUUUAGGUUGGAAAAUACCUUUAAGAUCAUCAGGUCCAACCAUUGACCCAGGGCUGCCAAGUCCACCGCUACACCAUGCCUCUAAGCACCACAUCCGUGCAUUCUUUAAACACUUCCAGGGAUGGUGAUUCCACCACAUCCCUGGGCAAAAUAAUACUUCAGCUGUGGGCACUAACUGCUUCAUUGCCCAUUUCUGUGCAGAAAUCAGACAGGUGAGAGCCACGCGGUUGUACAGGCAGCUCCAGGAAGCAGUGCAGAAGAGCCCAAGCUCCAGUCCUCCAAGGUGCCUCUGGGAAAAGCCAUUUUCUUGUCACAAAUGGUAGAGGGAACGUAGAGAGACCAGCUUCCCCAAGCCAGGUUGUUAGCUCUGGUAAGAAUCCUCAGAGAGAAAAUUGCUUUGCCCAUCUUGUUGCUGCAUGCCUAUCUAGCAGUGUGUAGACAGAUUUUCUCAGGCAGUUGAUUCAGAGAGAACCAGAUUUAUUCUUUGGCUGUGAACCAGGUUCCUGGUUCAAGAACUUUCCUGACAGUUUUCCAUGUGGGAUAUUAUUCUGAUUCAUGUUUGGGCUGCAGCAAUAAUUCAGUCCUUCCAUACAGUAAUUUUAUUCUUUUCUAGUUUGUUUUCUUGGAAGAUCUCAAAAAUGCCAUAAAUAUUAAUUGAUUUACAUUCACAGCAAUCCAAGGAAGAAAGUAGAUAUGAUGGCCUUAAUAAGGUUAUUCUGAGUCUUGUUUGAAUGCUGCAUGUGAAGUCAGUUGCAGAGAGUGAAAUAGAGCCAGUUUCUCAGGCAAACUACCAUCGUAUCUCUCUACUUGAUAGAGUUAUUGCAGACUGGUCUGAAAAUUAUCUCCUCCUUUAUCUGUAUAAGUAGCCAACGCUGUUGCUUCAUGACUGCCUUGCUCUACUCGAGAAAUACCUGGCUAGGUGCUGGAAGGGCACCUCGAAGCAUGGGGCAUGGCCUGUGGGGACAUACGUGAAGGCAAGGUGUUGAAUGUGUGUCCUUUUUUCAGCGGCAGGGAAUUUUCCUCUCAACAUUCAAAAGAAGAAGGAAAUGUUAGAACAACUGCUGCAAAAGCAUAAUGGGAUAUUUCUGGUUCGUGCAUUCCUCCUCUUGGAUUGCAUCCCCUUGGCUUGCAGAGGAAAACUCCAAAAGGAGAGGGUAGGGAGUUGUUUUUCAGUGUGUUUGUCUAUGCUGUGGCCCUUCGUGCUAUGAGAAACCUCUCAAGCAGCUCCAGCAAGAAUCUUCUCUCUGCUUUCUUCCACAUCCUCCCUUCGUCCUCGGUCCCCUCCCCCUCCUCUCUUUCAUGUGGAUCAAGGCCUGGAAAAUGACAAGCCUCUUGAUUAAUAGAUACAGAAAGUCUUCUUAUGUAAUUUAUUUGCUUUCUGCACCUGACUAGAAUCACUAGGUUUAUCUGGAAAGGAAAAUAUAUCGUCCUUCCUGACUCCGAGUGGCAGCAGAGAGAGCUGAGCAUGUGAUAUCAAGCUGCGCAUGGAAAGCAAACAAAACGCCAUUUCUGUAUUUUGUAAGCAUCUCAGGUCAUAAAAGUGUCAGCACGCUAUAUUUCUUGCUGGGAUCCUCUCUGUUUUAUUAUCUGAGCCCUUUCCAUUGUGUUGAAUGUGCAAGGAGAGUCUCCAAAGCAGGCAACAUCUGUUUCCCUGUCAUGUUUUUGAUUAUCAGCUCCAUAUUCCUUGCAAGUCUCCUGCUCACAUAUUCCAAUCAAACUCAACAGGGGCUUCAGCAGUGAGGACACUUCCUUAUCUCCCUUCCCCCAGGCUCUCCAUCCAUCAUUCUCACAUGCUGGCCCACUAAAUGCUGAUGCAAGAGGCCUGUUCUUACGCUUGGGUAACACACUCGUGACCUCUCCAAUUUGUUUUGUUUGCUUAAUUCUAAUUGCUGUGAGUAUACCUGCCUCUCGGUCCUUGGUCCUUAAUGGGGGAGAGGAAGGAGGCAGGUGGGGCGUCUGACUGGUUUUUGUUUUGGUACCUGUGGAGAAGAGUUUUCUAAUGUAGUUUUAGAUUUGUUUCCCAGUUUUCUUCCCUCAAGAGGAAGUUUCUUCUCCUCUUUCUUAGCUCCCAAUUGCUAAAUCAAUCUCUCUGUCCUUUGCCAAGAGAUCUGUUUUACCAUUUAUGCAGGAAUUUCAAUCUGCGGAUGGGGAUUCUGCCAAUAAAAAUCAAUUAAAACAAUUGUCUUCUGCCUAUGGUAUUGCAGUUGUGGGAUAUCUGGCACACUGAGACCUGGGAACACAGAGACUCUUGUCCUGGACCUGGAGGAGACUGGAUUUCAUAUUCACAUUGAUUCCUGACCCUUCCUCACACGGCUUGGUUAAUAACUGUGGAAGAGAUUAAGGGCCCAGCAGGUCAUUAAUGGCACCAAGCCAGCCACUUGAGGAAAGGCAACAAGGAGUGAAUGGAGAAGAAGAAAAGAUGAUUUCAGAGUACCUGUCGCUGUAGGUGGCUGCAGGAAACAAAAGAUGAAGGUGAGGAAGAGCGGGGAGAUGGAUGGACACAGCUCCAGGAGGUAUGGAAGACUGUUGCUAGCCUUUGUUGGUGGGCUCACAGGGCUGUGGGUGCAAGGGCAGGCUGAUGGGAGAGCCUGCAGGCUCAGGCAGCUUCAAAAUACAACUGUCCUAGAGGGGAGGUAGGAAUUCCUGAGAAAAUGAAGGGUGGGGGAGAAGAAAGGGAGCCGUAGGAAGGUGGGUGACUGGGAUGGGUCAGAAGAGGAUGCAGGGUGUCAAUAGCCUGAAUGGGAAUCAUGGGCUGGGACAGGAGUGAAAAUGAGUGGUGAGGAAGAGAAGGAGGCAGCAGAAAAUGAAGGGGGACGAGAUUGACAGAAUGUGUAUGGGGAAACGAGGGAGUGCGGGUGAACGUGGGGCUGCCCGUGCAAGGCAGGAGAGGAGGCGACACAGAUGACAACAGCAGCAGCUUGCUGUCAGGGUCCCAGGAUCCCACAGCUGAGGUUACGUGUCCACAGCUUUGUGCUUGUAUUUCAUAUAUGCUUUAAUUAUAUUGAAAGACUUUGUUUUCUGUUUUAUGUGAAUGCUACCUUUCCCACCUGCCUCAGUGGUCAGAAGUGUAUUUACAUAAUCUACUAUUUCCUGAUUUUCUACACUCUAUAUAGAAUUUUUUAGUAUUGUUUUUGUAUUCACUGCAUACUUACACGAUUGGAGAUAGCUACAAUUAUUUCCUAGGCUGAUUUUUUUAUUAUAAUUCCACUACAUAAAUGUGUGAAUGACCUCAUUAGUUUCAGUGGUAUAACUUGCCAUAAUGUUUUGAUUAGUUCACUUGGAAAUGUCUAUUAUUAGACUGGUUUAUUUAAUACAAUAUUUUAAUAAAAGCAUAAUAAUAAGCUUUAUCUUUUAAUAAAAUA